rnacentral:rRNA from 1 species
CCUACGGAGGCAGCAGUGAGGAAUAUUUGUCAAUGGCCGAGAGGCUGAACCAGCCAAGUCGCGUGAGGGGAGACGGCCCUACGGGUUGUAAACCUCUUUUGUCGGGGAGCAAAGCGAGUCACGUGUGACUCAUUGACAGUACCCGAAGAAAAACCAUCGGCAAACUUCGUGCCAGCAGCCGCGGUAAUACGGGGGAUGCGAGCGUUUUCCGGGUUUUUUGGGUUUAAGGGGUGCGCAGGCGGGGGUGCAAGUCAGCGGUAAAAUUGCGGGGCUCAACCCCGUACUGCCGUUGAAACUGCAUCGCUUGAGUGCGCGAGAAGUAUGCGGAAUGCGUGGUGUAGCGGUGAAAUGCAUAGAUAUCACGCAGAACUCCGAUUGCGAAGGCAGCAUACCGGCGCGCAACUGACGCUGAGGCACGAAAGCGUGGGUAUCGAACAGGAUUAGAUACCCUAGUAGUC